AGAGUUUGAUCCUGGCUCAGGACGAACGCUGGCGGCACGCUUAACACGUGCAAGUCGAACGAGAGAAGAGGAGCUUGCUUUUCUGAUCUAGUGGCGGACGGGUGAGUAACACGUGAGCAAUCUGCCUUUCAGAGGGGGAUACCGAUUGGAAACGAUCGUUAAUACCGCAUAACAUAAUUGAACCGCAUGAUUUGAUUAUCAAAGAUUUAUCGCUGAAAGAUGAGCUCGCGUCUGAUUAGCUAGUUGGUAAGGUAACGGCUUACCAAGGCGACGAUCAGUAGCCGGACUGAGAGGUUGAUCGGCCACAUUGGGACUGAGACACGGCCCAGACUCCUACGGGAGGCAGCAGUGGGGAAUAUUGCACAAUGGAGGAAACUCUGAUGCAGCGAUGCCGCGUGAGGGAAGAAGGUUUUAGGAUUGUAAACCUCUGUCUUCAGGGACGAAAAAAGACGGUACCUGAGGAGGAAGCUCCGGCUAACUACGUGCCAGCAGCCGCGGUAAUACGUAGGGAGCGAGCGUUGUCCGGAAUUACUGGGUGUAAAGGGAGCGUAGGCGGGAUCGCAAGUCAGAUGUGAAAACUAUGGGCUUAACCCAUAAACUGCAUUUGAAACUGUGGUUCUUGAGUGAAGUAGAGGUAAGCGGAAUUCCUAGUGUAGCGGUGAAAUGCGUAGAUAUUAGGAGGAACAUCAGUGGCGAAGGCGGCUUACUGGGCUUUAACUGACGCUGAGGCUCGAAAGCGUGGGGAGCAAACAGGAUUAGAUACCCUGGUAGUCCACGCCGUAAACGAUGAUUACUAGGUGUGGGGGGACUGACCCCUUCCGUGCCGCAGCAAACGCAAUAAGUAAUCCACCUGGGGAGUACGACCGCAAGGUUGAAACUCAAAGGAAUUGACGGGGGCCCGCACAAGCAGUGGAGUAUGUGGAUUAAUUCGAAGCAACGCGAAGAACCUUACCAGGUCUUGACAUCGUAUGCAUAGCUCAGAGAUGAGUGAAAUCUCUUCGGAGACAUAUAGACAGGUGGUGCAUGGUUGUCGUCAGCUCGUGUCGUGAGAUGUUGGGUUAAGUCCCGCAACGAGCGCAACCCUUACUGUUAGUUGCUACGCAAGAGCACUCUAGCAGGACUGCCGUUGACAAAACGGAGGAAGGUGGGGAUGACGUCAAAUCAUCAUGCCCCUUAUGACCUGGGCCUCACACGUACUACAAUGGCUGUCAACAGAGGGAAGCAAAGCCGCGAGGUGGAGCGAACCCCUAAAAGCAGUCUUAGUUCGGAUUGUAGGCUGCAACCCGCCUACAUGAAGUCGGAAUUGCUAGUAAUCGCAGAUCAGCAUGCUGCGGUGAAUACGUUCCCGGGCCUUGUACACACCGCCCGUCACGCCAUGGGAGUCGGUAACACCCGAAGCCUGUAGUCUAACCGCAAGGAGGACGCAGUCGAAGGUGGGAUUGAUGACUGGGGUGAAGUCGUAACAAGGUA
rnacentral:rRNA from 1 species